CUAACUCAGAAGUAAUACAAAGAUUAGAAAUUAUUUUGACAAGAAUGUCUUAUGAUUUUUGAAUGAUGCCCAUGUGUUUUCAGAAGCUAUUUUAUACGUGAUGUGUUGAUGAAAAUUGCUCUCAUCUAUUAUAUAUAUGUUCAAAUACUUUAUUUUGGAUUGCUUCGCGUGCCAGUACAUUUGUGCUGACCCCCCCUCCUUCCUGGUUUUGAGACACAGUCUAG
rnacentral:lncRNA from 1 species